CCUACGGGUGGCUGCAGUGGGGAAUAUUGGACAAUGGGGGGAACCCUGAUCCAGCCAUGCCGCGUGUGUGAAGAAGGCCCUCGGGUUGUAAAGCACUUUCAGUGAGGAAGAACGCCUGGUGGUUAAUACCCAUCAGGAAAGACAUCACUCACAGAAGAAGCACCGGCUAACUCCGUGCCAGCAGCCGCGGUAAUACGGAGGGUGCGAGCGUUAAUCGGAAUUACGGGGCGUAAAGCGCGCGUAGGUGGCUUGAUAAGCCGGUUGUGAAAGCCCCGGGCUCAACCUGGGAACGGCAUCCGGAACUGUCAAGCUAGAGUGCAGGAGAGGAAGGUAGAAUUCCCGGUGUAGCGGUGAAAUGCGUAGAGAUCGGGAGGAAUACCAGUGGCGAAGGCGGCCUUCUGGACUGACACUGACAUUGAGGUGCGAAAGCGUGGGUAGCAAACAGGAUUAGAUACCCGGGUAGUC
rnacentral:rRNA from 1 species